rnacentral:rRNA from 1 species
UACGUAGGCAGCGAGCGUUGUUCGGAGUUACUGGGCGUAAAGGGUGUGUAGGCGGUUUUCUAAGUUUGGUGUGAAAUCUCCCGGCUUAACUGGGAGGGUGCGCCGGAAACUGGAGUGCUUGAGCGCGGGAGAGGAAAGCGGAAUUCCUGGUGUAGCGGUGAAAUGCGUAGAUAUCAGGAGGAACACCUGUGGUGUAGACGGCUUUCUGGACCGUAGCUGACGCUGAGACACGAAAGCGUGGGUAGCAAACAGG